CCUACGGGUGGCAGCAGUGGGGAAUUUUCCGCAAUGGGCGAAAGCCUGACGGAGCAACGCCGCGUGAGGGAGGAAGGCCUUAGGGUUGUAAACCUCUUUUCUCUGGGAAGAAGAACUGACGGUACCAGAGGAAUAAGCCUCGGCUAACUCCGUGCCAGCAGCCGCGGUAAGACGGAGGAGGCAAGCGUUAUCCGGAAUUAUUGGGCGUAAAGCGUCCGCAGGCGGCUAAUUAAGUCUGAUGUGAAAGCCCACGGCUCAACCGUGGAGGGUCAUUGGAAACUGGGGAACUUGAGUGCAGAAGAGAAGAGCGGAAUUCCACGUGUAGCGGUGAAAUGCGUAGAGAUGUGGAGGAACACCAGUGGCGAAGGCGGCUCUUUGGUCUGUAACUGACGCUGAGGCGCGAAAGCGUGGGGAGCAAACAGGAUUAGAUACCCUUGUAG
rnacentral:rRNA from 1 species